GACGAACGCUGGCGGCGUGCUUAACACAUGCAAGUCGAACGGAAAGGCCCCCACUUUUUUGGUGGGGGUGCUCGAGUGGCGAACGGGUGAGUAACACGUGGGUGAUCUGCCCUGUACUUCGGGAUAAGCUUGGGAAACUGGGUCUAAUACCGGAUAGGACCAUGGUUUAGUGUCUCAUGGUGGAAAAAUUAUUGUUUUGGUGCAGGAUGAGCUCGCGGCCUAUCAGCUUGUUGGUGGGGUAAUGGCCUACCAAGGCGUCGACGGGUAGCCGGCCUGAGAGGGUGGACGGCCACAUUGGGACUGAGAUACGGCCCAGACUCCUACGGGAGGCAGCAGUGGGGAAUAUUGCACAAUGGGCGCAAGCCUGAUGCAGCGACGCCGCGUGGGGGAUGACGGCCUUCGGGUUGUAAACUCCUUUCGUUAGGGACGAAGCCGCACCUUUUUUGGGUGUGGUGACGGUACCUUUGUUAAGAAGCACCGGCUAACCACGUG
rnacentral:rRNA from 1 species